UACGUAGAUGGCAAGCGUUGUCCGGAAUUAUUGGGCGUAAAGCGCGCGCAGGCGGUCCUUUAAGUCUGAUGUGAAAGCCCACGGCUCAACCGUGGAGGGUCAUUGGAAACUGGGGGACUUGAGUGCAGAAGAGAAGAGUGGAAUUCCACGUGUAGCGGUGAAAUGCGUAGAGAUGUGGAGGAACACCAGUGGCGAAGCCGACUCUGUGGUCUGCAACUGACGCUGAGGCGCGAAAGCGUGGGGAGCAAACAGG
rnacentral:rRNA from 1 species